GAUGAACGCUAGCUACAGGCUUAACACAUGCAAGUCGAGGGGUAACGAGAGGAAAGCUUGCUUUCCUUGUCGACGACCGGCGCACGGGUGAGUAACGCGUAUCCAACCUGCCCCCAACUAGGGAAUAACCUUGCGAAAGUAAGACUAAUACCCUAUAAUUUCCUCAGAUGUCAUCUGACGAGGAAUAAAGAUUUAUCGGUUGUGGAUGGGGAUGCGUCUGAUUAGCUUGUUGGCGGGGUAACGGCCCACCAAGGCAACGAUCAGUAGGGGUUCUGAGAGGAACGUCCCCCACAUUGGAACUAAGACACGGUCCAAACUCCUGCGGGAGGGAGCAGUGAGGAAUAUUGGUCAAUGGGCGGAAGCCUGAACCAGCCAAGUAGCGUGCAGGAUGACGGCCCUAUGGGUUGUAAACUGCUUUUAUACAGGAAUAAAGUUAGCCACGUGUGGUUAUUUGUAGGUACUGUAUGAAUAAGGACCGGCUAAUUCCGUGCCAGCAGCCGCAGUAA
rnacentral:rRNA from 1 species